CAGUCGCCGCGGUAAUGCGUAGGUGGCAAGCGUUGUCCGGAAUUAUUGGGCGUAAAGGGCUCGCAGGCGGUUUCUUAAGUCUGAUGUGAAAGCCCCCGGCUCAACCGGGGAGGGUCAUUGGAAACUGGGAAACUUGAGUGCAGAAGAGGAGAGUGGAAUUCCACGUGUAGCGGUGAAAUGCGUAGAGAUGUGGAGGAACACCAGUGGCGAAGGCGACUCUCUGGUCUGUAACUGACGCUGAGGAGCGAAAGCGUGGGGAGCGAGCAGGAUUAGAUACCCCUGUAGUCCCUGUCUCUUAUAC
rnacentral:rRNA from 1 species